rnacentral:rRNA from 1 species
CCUACGGGGGGCAGCAGUGAGGAAUAUUGGUCAAUGGCCGCGAGCCUGAACCAGCCAAGUAGCGUGAAGGAAGACUGCCCUACGGGUUGUAAACUUCUUUUAUAAAGGAGUAAAGUGGGGCACGUGUGCCUUUUUGUAUGUACUGUAUGAAUAAGGAUCGGCUAACUCCGUGCCAGCAGCCGCGGUAAUACGGAGGAUCCGAGCGUUAUCCGGAUUUAUUGGGUUUAAAGGGGGCGUAGAUGGGUUGUUAAGUCAGUGGUGAAAGUUUGCGGCUCAACCGGAGAAUUGCAAUUGAUACUGGCAGUCUUGAGUACAGAUGAGGUAGGCGGAAUGCGUGGUGUAGCGGUGAAAUGCUUAGAUAUCACGAAGAACUCCGAUUGCGAAGGCAGCUUACUAAACUGCCACUGACACUGAUGCACGAAAGUGUGGGUAUCAAACAGGAUUAGAUACCCUUGUAGUC